UUAUAUAAGGCGUUUUUUCUUUCUGUUAAUAUAACCUAUUAAAGAUAAUUUUUAAUUAUGAGUUAAAAUUUAAACUUUUUAGACCAAAUCUAAUUAUUAUCAUCUCAAAAUGGCAUUUUUAAUUAAACGAUUGAAAGUCGAAGAAUUGUUGAAAGUAUUCGUUAGAUAUAAACAUGGUUCGAAUCAUUGGUCUGUAAUUAGGAAACAAAAGACACAUAAAGACAGAGCAUUGGCAUAUUUUAAUGACUUCUAUAAUAAAGUAUAUGGAAAAGCAUGGAAUGACAUAAGAACUGCAUUGCUACAAGAGGAAAACAAAUAUAUAGCAGUGAUUAAUAAUUUUAGUGAUGUGGAAAGAAUACAAACAACUUUGGAGAAUUCUGGAGCAAUAAAUAUAAAGUUAAUAUAUGAUGCAUUUGUGGAAAAUAUACAAGAUCAAAAGUUUCAAAGGAAAUUAAAGAAAACUGCUAACCUAACUGUUCGAAUGCAUAAUAUAAUAUCGGAAAGAAAAAUAUCAGAGAUACAGUCAAUUUAUCCAAAUGAUUAUGAAUCAUCUCAGAAUUCAUUGACCUUUACGGAGAAAAAUGAUAAGAAUACCAAUAUUAAUAAACCGUCAGUACAUUUAAAAUCUAUAGCGGAAGAUUCGAACGAUGUGAACAUUGAUAGCAAUCGUAUUGUUCUUCCUUCAGAUGGUUUAGCAGGACUUUAUGAAUUUGUACCAGUAACAAAAUUAAAAGGUAUGGAAGAUUGGGUUUUAGAAUCUGAACAUUAUGAAUAUUAUCAAAAGGCAAGUGAUUUCAAAAUACCUGUGGAAAAAGAGAAAGUUUUGUCUUUUCCAAAACAUCUUAAAUUGUAUACAUAUGAAGAGUUUAGCGAAGAAAAAUUUCCAGCCCCAAAGAAAGGAUCCACCGGAGUAUUAGAUUAUUAUCUUUUCGAUGGAGGUUCAAUACUACCUGUCCUGGCUCUUGACAUACAAUUAGGUGAUUUUGUAUUAGAUAUGUGUGCAGCACCUGGUGGCAAGACUCUAACAAUUUUGCAAACACUUAUGCCUAAUUUAGUGGUAGCAAAUGAUCUCUCACAGUCUAGAGUAUAUAGAAUAAAAAAAGUAUUAAAUCAGUACAUAGCAGAUAUAGGACAGUUGAAUGACAGAUUGUUUAUAACAGAAGAAGAUGCUCGUAAAAUUAAUGAUAAAGAUGUAUAUAAUAAGAUACUUGUUGAUGUCCCGUGUACAACAGAUAGACAUGUAUUACAUGAAAAUGAUAACAAUAUUUUUAAACCUACAAGAAUCAAAGAAAGGUUACGAAUGCCAGAAAUCCAAGCAGAUAUUUUAUUCAAUGCACUAAAGUUAGUAACUGUUGGUGGUACUGUCGUAUAUUCUACUUGUUCUCUUAGCCCUAUACAAAAUGAUGGGGUUAUACAAAUGGCAUUAAAACGCAUGUGGGAAGAAAGUAAUACUGUUAUAGUUGUAAAAGAUAUGUCAGAAGCAUUAGAUCCAUUGCAAACAUUAUUUAAUUUUGGAAAUUUUGGCUUGAAACAUGGACACAUUGUCAUACCCACUGUUGGUUAUAAUUGGGGUCCUAUGUAUUUUUGUAAAAUGGUUAAAUUGAAAUAAUGAAGGUAAGCUAGUUAGACCAUGCUUAAUUUUUUAUAUAUUUACAUACAUGUGUAUGUGUGUGUGCGCGCGCGCGUGUGCGUGUGUAUAUAUAUAUAAAAGUUAUAGACAUAAUAAUUUAUUUAUAAAAGUAUAAAAAUAAUCUGUAAAAAAAUGUACACGAGACCAAAUGUCUCAUGUAAAUAUUUCUGUGAUAGUUCAAUUGCUUUAAAAAUAGACAUUUUAAUUUAUAUGUACAAUUUAGCAAAAUAACUUAUAUUCCCAAUAUUGUAAUAGCUUUUAACUAAUUUUGUACUUCUACAUUAUGAAAAAAACUAUCUUAUACCACAUUAAGAUGUGCGUAUUUUAUUAAAAAGUGUUAAAAUUCACGCUAAUAGUAACCUAUCUCUGCGCCUAUGAAAAUAUAUAGCGUCGGUGUGUUUGCUCUUAUAUUUUUUGUUCAUGCAUUGUAGUAUGCGCUUCUUGCUGCCAUAAUGUCCUCUUCUAAAUCAAUAUGAUAGAGACGUCUCGCGAUAGGUUAUGAGCGCAGGUACAUUUGUGAAUAAUAAUGAAGUUAAGUGAGGUUAAUUCUUAGAUUUCAUCAUGUUUCACGUUUUCACAAACAAAAUCGUGAAUGUCGUAAAUGUACAACAAAUUGAAAAAUUAAAGAAUAUGUAUACGAUUAAAUAACAUAGAUACGAUGAAUUGUGCGGUCAUAUAAAUGGAUCCAUUGUGAAAAGCAAAGGAAUGCAGUUAUGUGAACACUAAAACAAAAAACUAAAAACUCAUAGCCUAAUUAUAUUAAGUAUUAAAUCAAGCAAGUUCAACAAUAUAAAACGGGCAAAAAUAUUAUUAAAAAUCUAAGAACCGAUCAAAAAUAUUUAUAAAUACAAAGUUCCUACUAUAAGACAAAACAGAUUAAACAGGUUGAAGAAAGAAAUAAAUCAAAAUAUGACACAAUAUGAAAAUCAAUUUGCUUAAAGAAUAAUUGGAUGAAUUUAGAAUGCAUUCGCCAAAUAUCCUAAUGAAAUAGUGUGCAUAACUAUCAAAUCCAGAAAAAUAGAAAAUAAUUGGCAAUGCCAACCAAAUAAAGAAGUAUUAUCUUUAAAAGCAUUAUUAUUAAAUAGGAACAAACUUGUAACAAGAAAUAAACAAAUGAGAACUAUCAGAAAUAAUAUAUUAGAAAACAGGAGGUCUGAUGCAGUAUUGGACAUAUGGAUAAAAAAGUUAUGUAGCAAAAGUAAUUAGAAACAAAACAAAAAUUAUAGCUACAAGAAAUUACGAAGUUACAUGUCCAUUCAUAAUAAAAGAAAUGAUAAAUAUCUGUUAAUUAAUAUAGAUUUGAUAAAUUCGACAUAUAAAAAUGAUGUAGAUAUUAAAACGAAUAAAAAAAUAUAGAAAGAAAACUAAUGUAAAAAAAAGUAAUGAAAAAAGAAAAAAAAAAACAGCAGUAUUUGAACCAACAAUCUCAUGAUUAAUAAUCUGAAACACUUUGCAAUAAAUUAUACAGCAUAUCUAAAUAUUAACAUCUAUUGCACAUACUCGUCAUAAACAAAUUGGUAUUUUGCAAAAUCGAUUUUUUCAAAAAUGAAAAAUAUGCAUCAAAUUAAAAUAGAAGUGCAAAUCACAUGUUGUAAAUAUAAAAAAGUACAAAAAUCUAGUUCUCUUGAGAUUGCCUUGCUAGACUGUAGUGCAACGAUACAUAUGAGCAAUAAUAGGAAGAAAUUCAAAAGCACUGAUGAAAACUAAAAUAGUAGAAUAUAUACAAUAGAAAGUUAUGUAAAUUCAAAAAAAAAAAAAAAAAAACUAAUAAUAAUAUUAAGGUAUAAUUAUCAGAUCAGGAAGCAAAUAACAUCGAAUAAAGAUAUAUAAUGUUUAUAGCAGAAUUACAAAAUAAUUUAUUAUUAAUAUCAAGCAUCAUAUCAAGAAUAUAUUGCAGUUAUAAAAAGAAAAAAUGGAUUCAUUUUCCCAAAAGGUCUGGUGAAUGUAGGAAAAGAUAUAAUGCUUUGAGACAAUUUUAUUAUAAAUAUUUUUAAACAAUUCGAGAUUUGUGUCUUACAUCAUUGCCUUAAUAAAAUUUAAUCUAUUACUGAAGCACACUUCUGCACUUUUUGUUAAAUGAUCUUUCAAAUUAUUUAAAUAUUUGUUUUUGAUAAUAUAGAUAAUAUACAAGAGCUGAUACUAGCAUUGAAACCACUCAAGCCACGAAAGACUAUAAGUGACUCAAAAUUCAAAGGAUUGGAAAACGUAACAGACCAAGGAAGUUAUAUAUUUUAUUAGUGACAGUUCAAAAUGAUCAAUAUGUUCUAACAAGUAAUGUACAGAAAGUUAUUGAUAAUGUAAAAAGAGAAUUGUGACUAGAUUUAAAGAUUUAUUGAAAUUAGUUUUAUUAAUUUUAGAGGUGAUCUAGAAGAGGUUAAUUUCUUGGGGAUGUAGAAAUGGAGAUAAUGGAAAUAUAAGAAUAUAAUAGUAAAGAUACAUUGAAAAUUU